CAGCCGCCGCGGUAAUACGUAGGGCGCGAGCGUUGUCCGGAAUUAUUGGGCGUAAAGGGCUCGUAGGCGGCUGGUCGCGUCUGUCGUGAAAUCCUCUGGCUUAACUGGGGGCUUGCGGUGGGUACGGGCCGGCUUGAGUGCGCUAGGGGAGGCUGGAACUCCUGGUGUAGCGGUGGAAUGCGCAGAUAUCAGGAAGAACACCGGUGGCGAAGGCGGGUCUCUGGGCCGUUACUGACGCUGAGGAGCGAAAGCGUGGGGAGCGAACAGGAUUAGAUACCCCUGUAGUCCCUGUCUCUUAUAC
rnacentral:rRNA from 1 species